rnacentral:lncRNA from 1 species
AGAAUCCGCAGCCCAUCGCUCGAGUGCUUAGCCAUUAAAUUAAGAGACGAAGAGUGCUUAGCCAUUAAAUUAAGCGACAAGUAUACAAAAGUUAAAUUGGAGUUUGAUAUUCCAAAUAUUCGGAAAUUCGAGUUCAAGGGCUAUGAUGUGCCGCACCUUGAGCUGAAGAAGACGAGUAGCAGGGAAUGGGUGUCGGAUAUACGCAUAAAUUGCACGACUUGUAUAGUAGAUGUGCCGUGGCUGCAUUCGUUGAGGCAGCUUGUGAAACUGUUGAGCCCAUCCCGAGUUUCUCUGGUUCUCAAAAUUGGCGACCUGCCGCCGGGUAUGGAUCCAUAUCCAUAUGGAUGGUUUAGCUAUACCUGCAGCGGAGAAUUUGACGAUGAGCGGUUCUGGAGUGCUGUCGCCGGCAUUCCUGAAUGCUUUAUUGUGAGGUACUCGUACCGAGUACCUUAGCAUUGAAAGUCGUACCGAGUACAGCAUUGAAAGAAGAUGUGAAGAUGUUUGAGAGAAAGAGAAUGUGGAACAGUUUCUACACUUGAGCUCUCUGCCAUGGAACACGUUAGAUGAUUCAAUGAAUCAUUCAGAAGAAGAAUUCGUUCGAUUCCAACUCAAAUAGCCAGAUCGUUUCCUAGCUCUUUUUUAAGGAUGAGAUGUUUUCUAGUUUAUUCUUGUACAGGAGAUACAAACAAGUGUUUUGAAGUUUAUUGUUGUGAAAAGGUAAUGCAUGUUUUCACCAAUAUUGUUCAACAUCUGUAAAGCUUUACGUUGGUUUUCGAUUUUUAGGGCUAUUCAUUGAAUAUAGUGUCUUCCUAUUUUUAUUCUCCAGAUAUUCUUAGUGAAAAUCCACGCCUAGAAACAACAGAUAAGGUAUCAUGUGUUUUCGUGUUUGAUGCUCUUAUUCAAUAACACCAAUGUUCAUUGAGAAAUUUGUUAUUAUUUAUUACAUAUUGUAUUCAUGAAUUUUCAGUAAUCACAAUUUAUGAUUAGUAGGUACAUCAGUCACCAAAUUAUUUUAAGAUAAUAAUAUGGUGUAUUAAAAAAUGAUUAACAUGAAGCUUUUUGCAUAAGCUUUAUAAAAUUAUGAAUAUUCUAGUGAAAAUUCUGGUUAUCGAUAUCUGAUUAUUGAUAUUUGAUUGAGGAUUGUAAAAUAUUUAAUAUAAAUUUUUUUUUACAUGCGUAUAAAAUUUACCAACACUUAAAUAAAAUAUUCAAAAUUUUCUUGUUGACAUAAAAUAUCUAUCAUAAAACAUUUCGAACAAUCAAAGAAAAAUUAUGAACAUCUAAAUAAAAUAUUCGAUUUUUUUUCCUAACAUUAAAUAUUUAACAUAAAACAUUUUGAACAAACGUAAAAAAUUACAAACAUCUAAAUAAAAUAUUCGAAUUUUUUUUCCUGACAUUAAAUAGUGAACAUAAAAUAUUCAAAUUUAUGUUGUUGGAAUAAAAUAUUUAACAUAGAAUUACAAUCAAAGUAACAAAAAAAAAUAUAGAAUUUACAAUUAAAACAAAAAAUAUAUAUUUGCACGUCAGUCUGAUCCUAUUCUCCUCUCUUUUACACCUCAAAAAAAAAAUAUUAGACAUUCUUCAUUUAAAUACCUUAUACAAUUAUUCAAUAAAAAAAAAUCAACAAAAAAAAAAACUAAUAGUCAAAAGGGUAGUGCUAAAUGGCCAUAAUAGGUUAAAUUAGUAAUUUUCUAUUUAUAUAAUUAUAUAUUUCAUUAUUUUUAAUCAAUGAUUUAUUAUCUUACAAUAUUACCUCUACAUAUAUUCUAUUUCCUUAAUAAUCAAAGAUUACUUCCUUAUAUAUAUAUUAAACUAAUUAUACUAUGUUUGACUAAUUAAUUAUUACCUACUAUAUAUAGAUUGAUUUAUUUUCGAAUUCAAUUCACAUAUCAUUGUGAGUUUUGUGAUGGAUUCAAUUUGAAUAUCAAUUUAAAUUUUAUGUGUAAUUCGAAUUAAAAUAACAUUACCAUAGCCAUCCCAUCACCCUUAAUCUUUUAUGUUUUAUUAAAUAAUUUUUAUAUAUCGGCUCAAAUUAAAUUUUAUCUGUUCAAUUCAAAUAUACUAAUUUCUCAUAAUUAUUUUUAAAUUUUUUCUUAUUUUUCAUUUCUAUUUUUUUGUUUUGUAUCUUCAAUCUAUUUUAUUUAAUUUUCAUUGAAUAUACUUUUUUUCUAUUUUCUUAAUUAUGUCAUGUGUAUGUAAUACAUAUACAUGUUUGUUUUAUUCUACCAAUUAUUUAUCCAUAUCACACAAUUCAAACUCCAAAUCCAUAUAUAUAUAUAUAUAUAUAUAUAUAUAUAUAUAUAUAUAUAUAUGGAAUAAAAAAUAAUUGAUUGUUUUCGUACAUCAUGGAAUGUGUAAUGUGUACGUGUAUAAAAUAUUACAUACAAUUAUGGAAAGAAGAGUAUUAAUUGAUGAUUAAGGAAAUAAUAAUACAUCCAAUAGUUUAAGGAUAUUUUAGUCAUAAAUUUUUUUUAUGUAAUUUCAAGGGUAUUAUGGUAGCCAUAAUUAUGGCUCCAUAUAAUUUCCCUAGUGGAAAAUACUAAAUUUUAAAAAAAAUACGAAAAAUUAAUGUCAACAGAAACAAAUAAUAAGGAAAAAAAAGUUUAGUUAGGCAAUUGUUCAAAUCAAUCGCAUAAAUUAUUAUAGAAACGAAAUAUUAAAUUAAUGUCAACAGAAAAAAAAAAUAAUAAGAUUUUUUUUAUUCUAAUCAAUAUUAGGGUUGAAUACAGUAACUCAAUGACACGAAAAAGAAAAAUUAUUAUAGAAACGAAUAUUAGGGUUGAAUACACCAGCUCUCAUCUCUCUCUACUGCUCUCAUCUCUGCGCCUUGCAUCUCUCUACAGCUCUCCUCUCUCGUCCAUCCCUAGCUAUCUCUCUCUGCACGUAAUGGCCGCUAAUUUUUCACCUUCAGGGAAGGUUAGUCCUUCAUCCUUUGUAGCGUAUCCUUCACGAGUGGAUCUUUCUAUGCCAAAAAUAUGUGCUAUCUUUACCUCCUCCACAAUUCAUCUUGUCUACAUAUUUGAUUCAAAUCUAGAUGAUGAUGUUGAUACAGUCAAUUUAGGCUAUAUUGAUCCGUAUACCAAUGGCCAGCAAUUUGUGCCACGACACCCAAAUCUUGCAUUUGACUAUCUAAGCCCUUAUCAUUGUUUCUGCGGGAUCGGUGCAAAAAUCUACAUAUUUGAAGGCAUAAACCAGGAUUUGUUGGAUUCAAAGUAUUACGGAGAAGAUGAAGAUUACCUCUUUUUAAUUGGCGUAUACCGCUUUGAUCUUUUGGCCGAGCACUUGACGAGGCAAUCGGCGACACCACCCAAUUUCAAUAAAACUCAUAUGGAUGAGGUUUAUGAAAUGCAGGGGCGGAAGUGCUCGCCCCAGGCUAUUCAAUUCGGUACUGACCAAAUUUUGGUAUUUUCUACUCAAAUUUUCUUCGUAGAGAAUUUUUUGGACAUCACUGAUCAUCCUCAUUAUUUGGUUGAUUUUGAGUUAUAUAAUACUGUGUCUAAUGAUUCUGUAAAACUUCCAUCUUUACAUGUUUAUCGGAUCAACGCAACUUAUUUUGCGUUGAUAGAGGGUGAUGGGAGUCCGUCAAUUUUUACACCAACAGAAAAUAUUGAAAGGGAUAAUACUGGUUUUCGUAGAACAUUUAGUAUUAUGGCAUUCACUUUAAUCCAUGAUCAUAGAUUUGUGGUUCAACCAGACUUUGGUGGAGUGGAGUUCUGUUUAGAUAUAUCUUGUGAAGAACCAAAAUGGGAAUUAUGGGAAGGGACGUUUUCUUCUUGUCAUGGUCUGCAUUUGGGGAGUAGAAAUGGUCGUUUGAUCUUCAAUUCAUAUGGGGCUUAUGAAGCUGGGAAGAAAUCUGUUGACGUAUUUCCUUUUCCACUGUGCUCGAGUCUUUCAAGUUCGAUUUAUGGGAGAAAUUCCUUGAUCGCACUGUUGGAGCACACCCCAGAAUAUGUGGUUUGUAUCAUGCAAAUAGCACAAGAUCGUAGGGGAAGGUUAUACUGGACUAUGAACAUGAUCAAGCUCAAUGAUGAAGAGUUCGAGUCUAGGAAUUUUGAAGGGCGAUUUGCUACACGCAUCAAGUCUUUCAAAUUUGUUGACCGUUUUGUUUCUUUUCCUACCACUAUUUCGGCCUUGUUUCCUUUGUAGUUAAUAUUAUAUACAUGUUCUGCUAGUAAUCAUAGUUAUGGUCAUAUUUAUCAUUCUUAAGUGUGAAUCCCACUAAUAUAAGUACUUCAUCUAUCCCACGAAUCAUGACUCAGUUUUCUUUUUGGUCCGUCCCACUAAACUUGACAUGUUUCCUUUUUUGGAAGAAAUGCUUCAUGGGACGGAGGGAGUAUAAUAUAAUAGAGAUGUUAUGUUGAUUGCCAUAAGGUUCAUUUGCAGAGUAUAUAGCCUUAUGAUAAUCUUAUCUCUUAACAGUAUGUAUUGUCUUUAUGAUUUAAUGCAUUAGGCGAUUUUCCAUGCAUUGUUUGGCUGAAGGACUUGCAUCAUCCAUGUAGAGGCAAGCUUUUCUUCAGUAACUGAAUCUUCCAUGAAAGAUGUCAUGAAUCUUUUCAAUGCUUUUCUGAAUGGAUGUCUGAUGUUGAAUGCUUCCAUUUCUCACCAACUAAUCCAUGGCCCUUCUUAGUUAACUUAUCACUACAUAAAUUUCAGACAGAUUCAUGAAACAGACAAACAGUUUAUAUAUAUGUGUAUAUAUAUAUAAUAUUUUAUUUUAUUGUAUAUCUAUAUAUAUGUGUAUAUAAAUAAGAAAUACAAUAAAAAAUAUAGUAAUACAUCAAUUGUUUAUAGUAUCCAAUUAUCCAUAUUAAUUGCUUAACACAUUGAUUUGUUACAUUUAUGUAAUUUUAUCCUUUUCUCUUUCUUAAUUAAUUUUUAAUGUUGAAUUUGAGUCAAUUCUAAAGUUAAAAGUAAAAUUACUAAUUAUUAACAAUGAAAAUUAGUUUAUUUGUUUGGAAGAUGAAACAUUUUUUUAAAAAAUGCAUAAAAGUAUGGCUAUAUAUGCGUUCAAUCUACUUGAUGUUGAAUUAAUUGAAUUGCGAAAAAUUAUCUAUUAUAUUAAGUGAUUUAUUUAAAAACAUGCAUAAAAAUAAAGUGUACGGAAUGCUCAAAAAAAUUUGCUCGUAGUUAAACAAAUUCAGCCCUCCUAACAUUAAAUCCUGGAUCCGCAAUAAGAUGAAGCAAGUUCUUCCGGUUCUCUGCUAGGAUUGGAUGAAGGUUUCUCAUAGUCAUACUUAUUAGGGUCUUCCAAAACAAGACUCAUAUCAUUGGAGCUGUGACUCGCACUUCCUUCUGUAGCAGCCACUGAAGAUUUUUGGAAAAUACCAGAAGUCAUAAAUUGUGUGCAGUUUCAAAGUAUUCGGUAAUUUCGCUCGUGAGCCUCAAAGUAUUUGGUAAUUAAAGUUUGAGAUUCGAUUCGAUAUUAAACAAACUAAACUUGGUGACGAUUCGGCUUGUUUCGAUUAAUUGAGGAUACAAAGUAUAAGAUAUUGUUAAUAAUAAAAAUAGAUUAAUUUUUUCCCUAAAAUAAUAGAUAUAUUUUAGAAAUGUCUUUAAUUAUUUUUAUUGACGGAGGGAAUAUUACUUUUAGGUUUUGGAUGCAAGUAGAGUCCAAUCUUGCUUACACACUAAGCAAGUCGUAAAAAGGGUAUAUUUGUUUUUCGCGAUUAAAUUCAUGAUUGAUUUUAAUUUCGAUUUCUUAUCCAAUUUUGAAGCAAAGCAUUGAUUAUAAUAAAACAAAGUGCAUUAUCAUUAAAAUUCGACUUUUAAUUUGGUAACGUCAUCUUAAUUAUUUGUUUAAAGCUCUUUUCUCUAAAGUUAAAGCUGACGUGUACGUUAAUGGACAAAACCUUCCUCGCUUUCCUUUACUGCCACGUGCUUAUCCUAUUCUACAUUUUUUUAUAUAUAAAAUAAAAGUUUCUUUUACCUUUUUCUACUUGUUUACUUAUUAUUUUUAAUUAUUUUGUAAUAUGUCAACAACUUUUUCUUAAUUAAUCAUAUCUUUCAUCGCAUAUUUCUUUAAGACUACCCACAGUCGUGACACUCAUUCAACCCAACCUUACUCAACUUUUUAAUAAAAUAUUCAUUUCUCUCUCAUCCACCUACACAACCCACAACCUACUACUCCCUCCGUCCGCCAAAAGUAUGGCACAAUUACUAUAUUGGGCGUCCGCAAAAGUAAUUCCACUUCCUUUUUAAGUCCAUGGUCCCACCAUCCACCUUUAUAUUUUAUCCUUACUNAUUUCGGCCUUGUUUCCUUUGUAGUUAAUAUUUUUAUGUUCUUAAUUCCCCUAUCAUGUUGUAUCCCUUUAUACAUGUUCUGCUACAUUCCUUUUGUAAUCAUAGUUAUGGUCAUCACUCAGAGGUAUAUAUGAGAAACUUUAUUUGUUCUCUUUCAUAUGUUGGUGAUAAUAGAAAUCUCUUUUCUGCCUCCUCUCACUGUUUCAAAUAAUUUUAUCAAUGAUGUUGCAGCAUAAAAAUCAUUCUGGGUCCUACAUCUAGUCUCAGAAGCUCAUUUAAGUUGAAUGAGACAAACAUCACAAAGGUGAUACUGCAGUAAAAUUAAGAUGUUUGAUGUUUGUGUGUUGCUAUUAACAAAUGGAUCAUAAGCUUAAAGAAAAAAGAUAAUGAGCAGAGCUUUAUAUGGUUCUUUAAUUUCUGUUGAUGUAGUAUCUCAUUUGGAAGUGCGACUUUGAGUAUUAUGGGGAGGAUGUGAUUAGAAUUCGUAGCCCAUCGCUCGAGUGCAUAACCAUUAAAUUAAGCAGCGAGUAUGCACAAGUUAAAUUGGAGUUUGAUAUUCCAAAUAUUCGGGAAUUCCAGUUCAAGGGUUAUGAUGUGCCGCGCCUUGGGCUGAAGACGAGUAGCGGGGAAUGGGAGUCGGAUAUACGCAUAAAUUGCACAUCUUGUAUAGUAGAUGCGCUGUGGCUGCAUUCGUUGAGGCACCUUGUGAAACUGUUGAGCCCAUGCCGAGUUUCUCUGGUUCUCAAAAUUGGCGACCUGCUGCCGGGUAUGGAAGAUGGAUGGUUUAGCUAUACCUGCAGCGGAGAAUUUGACGAUGAGCGGUUUUGGAGUGCUAUCGCCGGCAUUCCUGAAUGCUUUAUUUU